CAUAAUAAUAAUAAUAAUAAUAAUAAUAAUAAUGUAAUAAAUUCAAUAAUAUUUAGCCAAUAAAAUAUAUUAUUUUAGUUCAACUUACAUAAAUAACAUAAAAUAUUAGAUAGGUGUAUAAUAUACUUUAUAUAAACUGUUUUGAACGCGCAGCGUUAUAAUUAUUACUAAAACUAUAUAAAAUACAAUAUUAAAUUUCGCACAUGAAAUAAAUUAGGGGGGGGGGGGUAUAGCCGUUUUUCGUAUUAAUUAUACCCUUCAAAUAUACUCGUAUAUAAAUAUAAUACAAUAUAGUUUCGACAUUGUAUGUACAGUGUUAGGCGCGUACCUUUACCCGUUUUUGGCCCACUAGAUGUACAAUAAAUUUUAUUAUAUCCAUUGGAAACCGGUCGUAUGAUAAAAUAUCAAUACAUUCAAGGGCGUCCGUCUUAGAAAACCCAGGGAAGAGAUAAAACUAUACAAACAUAAUACGCACAUCAAGUGGAUUAAAUAAUUAAAAUUACAUUUUUUGAAAUCGAUUACGGAUGAAAAACCUGCAGGAGGGAAACGCGUUCACCCGUUUGCUUCCCCUAAUGGACGCCCGUGUUAACACAAGUUUACAAGUUUUUUUUUUCGAGAUGUACACAUUGACUGAAAAUUAGUUUUUUUUUUCAUCUUAUGAUAUCAAUGUCAAAUAUGUAUGUGUAUAGUCACGGUUUUGCAGAGUAUUUUAUUUAGGGAGGUUUGAUUCGGUGAUUCUUUUUUUUUUUUACCGUUAUUUUAUGAGUUUUAAAUAGAUUAUUUUUGACUAUUAAAACAGGAAUAUUCAUUUUUAAUUAAAAGUUACAUUUAGACAGUUUUGCAACGCGUCUCGCCCCAUCUCUUAAAAUCGGUUACUGUACAUAGUACGUGACUUUUGUAUUGGUGGAAGUUUUUGUCCAGUAAAAGUCAGUUUAAACGGUAUUUUUUUUUUCAUAAUAUAUAAUGAUAAUAUAUAGGUACAUAUAACAAUAAUAAUGAGUUAGAGGAAGAGCAAUAUUAUAAUGUUUUAUAUCUUGGACCACGUAAUAUAUAAUAUUUAUAAAUUUAAAUAUUAGAAAAAAAAAAACUAUUCAAACAUAUAAUAUUCACAAUUAUGUAUUUUAUUUUAUAUGUACAAGGUGUUUCAUAAUAGCUGUGCCAUACUUUAGUUGACGGGGUGUUCCAAUAACGAUAUUUUUGAUAUUUUUUUUCAGGUACCUCCGAAACCCUUAUUUUUUACAUUCAUUCAAAGAAUAUUUGAGUGAGUUUAAAAAUAAAUGUUCCGUUAGAUUUUCUGUAAAUUCCUCAUACGAAUUGAUAUCUCGCAUCAUUAUUGCACAAUUAUUGGCGCUCAAUGUCGGCAAAACUGACAAAUCUAUUCGUAUGAGAAUUUUGAAAGGAAUACCGUGGUUCAAUUUUUGUUUUCGAAACAGAAUACAUCUGAUUAUUAAAUAAGUAGAAUUAUCAACAAAAAAAACUAUGGAAAUUGAUUUUUUCAAAUAUUGUUCAAUAUGACCAUCAUUCUUUUUUAUGCGUUUUUUCAUGCAGCGAUACAAUGAAAUACAACUUUUUUAAAAUAAUUUUGGAAUUGGCGAUAAUUUAUUUUUGUAGCAUAAGCUAUUUUUUUUUCAUAAAUCCUCAUACAAAUUAUCGUAUCAAUAGUGUUAAGUAUCAAAACCUUUUCUUUGAAUUAUUAUAGUUAUAACAUUUUAGUUGAGUAUUUGAAUGUUGUCUGAUCAUUCUAAGAGUGUUGUUAAUUUUAAUCUACCUAUUUUAUAUUUUCAAACAUUAUUGUGUUGUCUUUUGCGUAGUAUACCAAGUACCUAGUCAUCAAUAUAACAAUUUAAAAUCGCUUAGAAGUUUAUUUAUGGGAGAAUAACAUUGUGAACUUUCACAAGACUAACAUUUUAAACGUUUAAAGCUAUGAGCUAUUUCAAAACAGACAUUUUGUAAAAUACAAUAAUAUGCAUGGUUGUACGCAAUAUGUAAUAUAGUGUACACACAAGUAUGGAUUGAAUUAAGUGUAUUGUUAUUAUAGUUUCGUUUUGAAUAAAGAAAAUGUAUAAGUAAAAUAGAAAUUUAAUAUUAUUUAUGGGUG